CUGAAAUGCAUUUUUCAGUCCUUACUUCCCCAAGCAAUAAAAUGGAAGCUCUUAAAGGGUCCUUGAUCCCUUCACUUCAAAUCCCAUCAACACCAACCACACUCCACAAAACCCAAUUCUUGAAUUUUCAGUUCUGUCCAAUACCCAUUUCUCAAAUCAAUUCAAAGAAACACAUCAAGAUCAAAGCUUUUAUCAAGAUCAAAGCUUUUCGCCACAUCAUCAUCAUCUACAGCUUCAACAGAACCCAUAGACC
rnacentral:misc_RNA from 1 species